AUAUUCUGUAGUUCAUGAGUGUGAUGAUUGGGUAUUGACAUGCUGUGUGACAUGUGCCUCCCUUGAACCUUGUUACAACAUUGGCACACUACCUGGCUGACA
ensembl:snoRNA